rnacentral:rRNA from 1 species
GAUUAACGCUGGCGGCGUGCAUAACACAUGCAAGUCGAACGAUGAAACUUUAAUGAACCCUUCGGGGAGAAUUAAAGCGGAUUAGUGGCGAACGGGUGAGUAACGCGUGAGUAACCUGCCUUACACAAGGGGAUAGCCUUUGGAAACGAAGAAUAAUACCCUAUAAAACCAUAAAAGCACAUGCAAUUAUGGUCAAAGUGAUAGCGGUGUAAGAUGGACUUGCGUCUGAUUAGCUAGUUGGUGAGAUAAAAGCCCACCAAGGCAACGAUCAGUAGCCGGCUUGAGAGAGUGUACGGCCACAUUGGGACUGAGACACGGCCCAGACUCCUACGGGAGGCAGCAGUGGGGAAUUUUGCACAAUGGGGGAAACCCUGAUGCAGCGACGCCGCGUGAUUUAGAAGGCCUUCGGGUUGUAAAAAUCUUUUGUAUAGGAAGAAAAUGACAGUACUAUACGAAUAAGGUCCGGCUAAUUACGCG